AGUAAACCAGCUCGACCUAUAUACAGCUACUUGUCUUGUGUAUUGACUGACAAAUUGUAGUUAACAUGGCACGUCAGGCAGACCGUCUUGCUAAGAUUGGGCUGGAGGGCUUUGCAGCCAGAGAUGAGCACUUCGGCCGGGCCAAGAGGCGGCCACCAGUGCUGAAGGUUCCCUAUGCUCAUCCGACAUAUUACUAUGCAAACCAAAUUCCUGCAACAGAAGUUAUCGACACCAACGAGGCAGCUCAACGCUACAAGGGGAGGGUUUAUCUCGAUUAUCCUAAGGGGAAACCAGUUCCGUUUUAAAGACCUAGUGAUUAAUCACUUAGCUUUCUUGUAUGCAUAACCUCCUCCAGUUGUGUUACCUUUAGUCCUGUACGAUAUUCUCCCUCUGCUAAACGUAUACGAGGAGAGGUUGCUAGAACUCGAGUCAGGAGCUUCUUGUUACUUCUUCAAAUAAACUUUCUGUGAUUUAUAUAUCAUUUUCUAUUUGUAUGUAUUGUCAUAAUUAUCACCUCUUACUUAGCAUGGAAUUGAAAGAUACAAUAUGCUCUUGAAAUGCUUUGAAGCUCUUCAAGGUGUGAUUUCACCGACUAAGUUGGAACUGUACAGAGCUCAAUGAUGAGCCGUAGGAGGCGUCUCUGAUUGUUGCACUGUAAGCAUGAGUGUACGUAUGAAUAUAACCAGCAGAUCCGCAAAGCACAAGUGAUGACAAGCUUCUUAACACGGCUACAUUUAACAGUUUUACCAACGAAAUUUUUUGUCGGUAUUUACUCUACCAUUCCGUCAGCAUGAAUUUUACCGACUGAUUUACGGACGGAAACAGUCGGUCGAUAAAUUCCUCUUGUCAGUAAUUUUAUUAAUGUCGGUAAAAAAAAACCGAUGGUUUUACAGACAGAAAAUGCAAGCCAAUUUUUUUUCCACUGGAAUAUAAAGACAGAAUUAUUUCUUCGGUGAUUGACAGUGGCAUAUGGAGUAAUUUUAUUCCAAACCCUCUAUAAAAUACCGAAGGAAUUAUUCCAUCGGUGAUGUAACAGUUGAAAUGGCAUAUGCAGUAAUUAUUUUUCAACUCUCUGGAAUAUAACGACCAACAAAGUUUGUCGGUAACUCUGUCCGUAAUAAUUAAAAAAUAUAUUUUAUACAAAAUUGUAUAAAAUUCAAGUAUGUGAAAAUAAAUUACCUAUGCUCAUCCGACAUAUUACUAUGCAAACCAAAUUCCUGCAACAGAAGUUAUCGACAGCAACGAGGCAGCUCAACGCUACAAGGGGAGGGUUUAUCUCGAUUAUCCUAAGGGGAAACCAGUUCCGUUUUAAAGACCUAGUGAUUAAUCACUUAGCUUUCUUGUAUGCAUAACCUCCUCUAGUUGUGUUACCUUUAGUCCUGUACGAUAUUCUCCCUCUGCUAAACGUAGACGAGGAGAGGUUGCUAGAACUCGAGUCCGGAGCUUCUUCUUGCUUCAUCAAAUAAAAUUUCUGUGAUUUAUAUAUUAUAAUUUUCUAUUUGGCUGGUCAAGUAUGCAUUGUCAUAAAUAUCACUCUGCUUCCCUGAUUAUUACCUUAUUCACCUAUUACUUAGCAUGAAAUAUUGAAAGAUUAAUGCAGUCGGAAGCACAACAAUAUAGCUGCAAGCAUAGAAAGACAAAAGAUAAACUGAAAUAAUGUUAAAACACUGAGAAUCCUAAAACCUUAUUUCUAAAUUAUUAAUUUGAUUAAGUUUACCUUCUAAAGAGGUUUACAAUCUCUUUCAUAGACUAGAAAAAUAGGCCAAGAUUCGAAACAAAAUCAGAAUCCCAAAACAUAACGGAAAAUAACAUAAAAUUUAAAAAUAAACAAUAAAUCUGCGAAAAUUAAGGAAAAAUAACAAAAUUAUCCCAAAUAAUAACUAAUUAGCCUACUUUAUGGAGAUACAAUGCUCUGAUAACUAUUGAGUUGUUUUUAAUGGGAAAACGGUUUGUAGAAUCUUCUAUAAAAAUUUAAACCUGAUUUAACGGUUAGAAUAUCUCCUGUUAUCAUUAUUUUAGGCUAUUAUUCUGGUCUUGCGUGAUGAUGCUUUCUCUUGGCCUAAACAUCUUUCACUAGUACAUGAACAUAUCUGUUAGUAGUCCGUUUAGGGCAAACAAAUAAUUAAUUUGCUGUUCAAAUGCUUUGAAGCUCUUCAAGGUGUGAUUUCACUGAAUAAUUUCGAGUUUAGAAUUAUCACCUCAUUUUAGAAUUGUCCCGAGCACAAGGAUAAAAUGAUGAGCCAUGGGAAGCGUCUCCGAUAAAGAAAUAAUAAACGGAGUUCAAGGUAAAACAAUAGCUUAGAAAAAAAAAAGUAGAAAUUUACACGAUAUCUAAGAAUAUCAGCGAUCAUGACCAUGAUUGGAUCAUUUCUGAGUUCUACAACCAAAAUUUCCUUCACAUCUCUUUAACUAAGCUGAUAGUCGAUGAAGAUUUAAGGAAAAACAUGAUUCCCAAUCCGAGCCAUAUGAGCAAGUGUAUCUAGUAAAAAUAUCUUAUCUCCCAUGAAAAUCAUAUUAGUAAGCCUCCCUCUGAAGCAUUGCUUUACACAUAUCUUUUACAGAAAAAAGAGAAAAAUGGGAAAUGCUCCGAGUUAUACCUUUUCUUGAUCUUUCCCAAUCCUUCAUUAUAAAUGGGACCCAUCAAAAACAUGAGAUGUGCUUUAACUUCCUCCAUAUUUCAUCUUAGCCUAGAAGGAUAAACAAGAAUAUUAUUGCUUCUGAAACAUAACGAUUGCAAGCAUCGCCUUUCGGUGAACUUUAGAUGACAUGAAACUGCCACAAAUUGGGUCCUAUCCGAGAGAGUUUUCUUUUUCUGCUCUGUUAUCACACAUAUACAACUGAAAUCUUUAAGUCCUCUUUAGGGUAUCCCUGAAAGAAAAUGAUCUAUCAUGCAUGGAAAGUCCUGAGGAAUCUGAGGCAUCACUACAUGAAAUUCAACCAACGGAAUUGCCGACAAACUGUUUCUUUCGGUAUUUUGCGGUGAUAUUUACCGACCGAAUUACUUCCCUUGCUAAAACCGUCGGUAUAUAUCGAGUGAAUCCCAGAUAGAAUAUAAAGAAUUUUAAAAAACAAAGCAGUGCAAUGACGUGGAAGUUUUGGUGGAUGAUGUUACUGAUGGAAUUACAGAGUGAUUCAAACUGGGAUGUUCGUACAGUGACGUGUUUACUUCACCGACAGAAUGGCCGAUGGAUUUACAAACAAAAAUAUUAUGUCGGUAAUUCCAUCGAUAAUAGUUAAUAUAUUGAAUGUUUUUUUAGUGUUUACUUGUUUUAUUACUUUUCUCAAACAAACAUGUAGUAUGGAUUUAUAAUUUUGUACUUGGUAUGGUUUGUUUUAGAUUUUGUAAAAUUAUAUUUGUUUGUAAAUUGUUGAAAUUUAUGUCGAAUUACCGACUUAGGUGUGUUGUGAUGAAAUAAAUAAUGACUUGUUUGAUGGGUCCGUUUUAAUUUUUGUCAAUUUUAUUGCCGAGUUGUAAUUUCUGUAAAUUAAUGUGUCUAAAUUUGUAUGGACGUAGAUAAUUGAUAAUGAAUAUUUAAGAGAAGUUUGAAAGUAAGUUGGAAAUCUUGAGCUAAACCAAUAUUUUUGCAAAUUUAUUUGCUUGACGUAGUUAAUUAAUACAUGUUGUCAUCAUUAUUUUAUAGAGGUUUGAUAGAAGUCAUGGAUGAUCAUUCAUGGAUGUAUCGAGAUUCACCUUAAGAAUUGCGGAGGAUGGAUUAUUAUAAUAGGGUUCAGAGUUUUAUUAAUUUCGCAACAUCUAUUUCGAGAAAUUUUAGUGGAGACGGUAUUAAGUGUCCAUACAGGAGGUGUAAAAAUAAAAAGUUUUUGCAUCCAGAUGUUGUAACGAUGUAUCUUCUACACAAAGGGUUCAUGGAGGAUUACUUGUGUUGGUAUGCACACAAAGAAUUAUUUGUUCGUAACAAGAGCAUGGUAGAAAGGAUGGUUGGGUCAACUUCUAGUGCUAGCAAUGUGCAUGGAGUUGUAAAUGACAAUAGUAAUCCUUACAGGAAUAUGGUUAUGGAUUCAAUGAGAAUGAAUCAAGAUAAUGCUAGUCAAUGUCCAAUUGUAGAAGAAGAUGCUAGUCAAUGUCCAAUUGUAGAAGAAGAACCUAAUGCAGACGCGGCCAGGUUUUUUGAUUUGUUGAAAGAUUCUGAUGAACCAUUAUGGGAUGGCUGCACAAAUCACUGUAAAUAAUCAGUUGUUGCAUAUGUGUUCACUAUCAAGUCAGAUUAUGGGUUGAGUGAGGCCGGUUAUGACAAAAUUAUCGAAUGGGCGAGAAGCAUUCUACUUGAAGGGAACAAGCUGAAAGAGAACUUCUAUGCUACUAAGUCCAUGAUGAAACCCCUCGGUUUAGGAUACUAGAAAAUUGACAUGUGUCCAAACUUUUGCAUGAUGUACUACCUUGAAAAUGCUGAGCUAACCGAGUGCAUGGCAUGAGAGCAUUCCCGUUACAAAUCCAGAACUGGCAUGGGAAAGACUCUUAUGGCAUAUAAAAAACUUAGAUACUUCCCAAUCACGCCUAGACUGUAGAGGUUAUUCAUGUCACCAAAGACUACUGAGCACAUGAUAUAGCACCAAUCACUUGAUGCAGUGGAUGGAGUGAUAGUGCAUCCUUCUGACGGUGAAGCAUGGAAACACUUUAACAGUGUGCAUUCUCAUUUUUCAGCUGAAUCAAGGAACGUGCAUCUUGGGUUAUGUACAGAUGAAUUCAACCCAUUCAGGUCAUUUGUUGAUCCUUAUUCUUGUUGGCCGAUUAUACUCACGGUUUACAACUUACCACUCUUAUGGCAACAGUUGCUCCUUCUUCACAAUACUUAUGGAACAAAGACUUGUUAAGUGCUUGACUAACGGACUGUUUUUCUCAAAGCUUUUAGUUUGGUUGACCUGAAACUUUGUUUUCGUAGCAAUCCCCAUCAACGGAAACUACGAUCAAACUGUGUACAAUUUGGUUAUCUUGAAAUCGCAAUCUAGUGAUUUGCUUAAUCCAAAACCAAAAUCAAUGCCAAAGUUCGGUCAACCUGAGAUCCCAAUUUGGCGAUCCGCUUUAACUAGAACUAAAAUAUGAAAAGUAGCUCGGUAACCUGAAAUCCCAAUCUGGCGAUUCACUUUAACCAGAACCUUGGUCUUUGUCGUUAAGUUGGUCAACCUAAAAUCCCAAUACGACGAUUCUCUUUAAUAAGAACCAAAAUGUCGCCUUUAGCUUAGUUAAUCUGAAAUCUCAAUCUAGAGACCCCCUUUAACCAAAACCUUGGUCUUUAUCCUUAGCUCGGUCAACCUGAGAUCCCAAUCUAGUGAUUUCCUUUAACCAAAACCAAAAUGUCACCUUAAGCUUGGUUAACCUGAAAUCUCAAUCUACAGAUCCCCUUUAAUCAGAACCUUGAUCUUUGUCUUUAGCUCAGUCAACUUGAGAUCCUAAUCUAGCUAUUCCCUUUAAUUAGAACAAAAAUGUCACCUUCAGCAUGGUUAACCUGAAAUCUCAAUCUAGAGACCCCCUUUAACCAGAACCUUGGUCUUUGUCUUCAGUUCGGCAAACCUAAAAUCCCAAUCUGAUGAUUCGUUUUAACCAGAACCAAAAUGUUGCCUUAAGCUUGGUUAACCUAAAAUCUCAAUAUAGAGACCCCCUUUAACUAAAACCUUGGUCUUUGUCUUUAGCUCAUUCAACCUGAGAUCCCAAUCCGACAAUCCUAUUUAACUAGAACCAAAAUGUUUCUUUCAGUUUGGUUAACCUGAAAUCUCAAUCGAGUGACUCCCUUUAAUCAAGCGAUUCCCUUUAACUAAAACCAAAAUGUUGCCUUCAACUCGGUUAACCUAAAAUCUCAAUUUAGAGACCCCUCUUUAACUAGAACCUUAGUCUUUUUUUUUUAGCUCGGUCAACUUGAGAUCCCAAUCUUAUGAUCCCAUUUAACAAGAACCAAAAUAUUGCCUUCAACUCGGUUAACCUAAAAUCUCAAUUUAGGGAACUCUCUUUAACUAGAACCUUAGUCUUUUUCUUUAGCUCGGUCAACUUGAGAUUCCAAUCCUACGAAUCUUGAAACAUCAUCCCCUUCUUAGUCCUACUUUGAUUUGCCAAAAAAAUGGAAAAGAAUGAAUGAUAUGGUGGAGAACUAGACCGGUCUUUACCAUUGGCUAGAACCAACCAUAGGCUGCUUAGAAAGCAACCUUCAACACCUAAAAACAAACCACCACAUAACAACCCUGCAAUUAUCAACAACAACAUCUAGUUCUAGCUACCUAGUCUAUGUCAAAGAAUAGAAUCUGAGGCAACUUUUUGACCAAAAUUCCAUUCUCUAUUAUUCCUUCAAUAUUGGGGUUUAAUGCAAGCAACUUGUUUAUUCGGAUUUGAGAUGUAAAUAGAUUUUAAUUUUGUUAGGAUGAGGUGGUCAGGUUGCGUCACAUUGAUUAUGUCAUGAAGUUAACUAGAGUAAGAAAUAAAGAUAUCAAGUUUCGGAGAGAAUCAAGAUCAGUUAAAGCAAAAAAAAAAAAAAACAGAUUAUGAAAAUAAAUUGGAAACGAAAAGUUUAGUUAUAAGGAAUUAGAUUCACAAACAAAUUUAAGUCUCAUCAAUUCUAGGAAACAAGUUGGAAGGAAUCAAUUUUACAAAAAUUGACCUUCGCACUAGAGAGAACCUUCGAGCCACUUCAAAUGUACUGAAGGCCAUUUGUUUGCCAUAUGUGCUAAUUAAGAACAUAAUUCUAUUCUUUUGUGAGUUAAUAUUCUGUAAAAUAAGCUUGGAAUAGCUUGCGGGGGCUUGGCUCAGAGAUCAUUGAGUUUUUACUACAAAUUGCCUUUUAAUUUUUUUCCACCUGUAAUUGGAUUCGAUAAGUUUCCCUUUUGUUUACAUAUGAAGAACAAACAUUGCUUGAGGUUAUCCAAUGCCGAGAUCAAGGUCAGAUAAUACUAGCGAACCCCUAAUCAGGAUUAAGAAGCAAAAAAAAUGUUAAGUGCAGCUUAUCCAAUGCCGAGACCAAGGUCAGAUAAUAUCCUGAUUGUGCUUAUUGCCAUUAAUUAGAAACUGCAAUAUCGUCACAUAAUUAAACUGAGAUUAUUCUGAUUAGAGAACAGAAGGAAUCUUCUUUCAUAAUUGGCUUUUGCGAAGGUUUAGUGUUUUUGCUGCUACUGCUUUUGGACCUGACUUGAUUCCUGAUCGGUCGAAAAAGCAUUAGUCCAAAAGCAGGGAAGCUUUUGUUUUCUUUAAUCACAUGAUCAGAUAUUAUAAUUUAUGCCCAACACAAAUUCAUAAAAGUGGCUCUAAGAUUGGCUGACAACAGUUGUUAAUGAGCAGUGUUUGCAUCCCUUAUUUUUCAGUUUACUAAGUAUUUAGAACAUUCAAUUCCAAUCCAAAGUCGAUAAUAAUAAACUCUUGGUAAUGGUUUUGUCAUCGAUGGUGAUCGGACGACAAAAAAACCAGUAAAAUUGUUUUAUAUAAAAAGUUUAUUAAGUAUUGAAAACAUCCAAAUCUAACAUGUUUUACUUUUUUGUGUUUAAAUAUGAUAUUAAUAAACUUUUGGUGAUAUUUUUUUUUUCAUUUUGUGAUGCUUUUAUCGUCAGUAGUGAUAAGAUGAAGAAAAGCUAUUGAUUUUUCUCUCAGCAAUGGUUUGUUUUAUCGUACACAAAUGUUGGGUGCUUUUAUUUACAAAAAGGAGUACUGUCUACCAUUAUUCAUUCCACAGCUGUUGUCAACCAAACCUUUCCUUUCUAUAUAAAGGUGGCUUGGCCUCCUACAUAUUAGCCAAAGCAAGAAAACCAACAAAACCUAUAAACAGCUACUUGUCUUUGUGUGUUGAUUAAUUGUAGUUAACAUGGCACGUCAGGCAGAUCGUCUUGUUAAGAUUGGGCAGGAGGGUUUUGCAACCAUUGAUGAGCACUUCGGCCGGGCCAAGAGGCGGCCACCAGUUAUGAAGGUUCCCUAUGCUCAUCCCACAUAUUACUAUGCAACAGAAGUUAUCGACAGCAACGAGGCAGCUCAACGCUACAAGGGGAGGGUUUAUGUCGAUUACCCUAAGGGUAAACCAGUUCCGUUUUAAAGACCUAUUGAUUAAUCACUUAGCUUUCUUGUAUGCAUAACCUCCUCCAGUUGUGUUACCUUUAGUCCUGUACGAUAUUCUCCCUCUGCUAAACGUAGACGAGGAGAGGUUGCUAGAACUCGAGUCAGGAGCUUCUUCUUACUUCUUCAAAUAAACUUUCUGUGAUUUAUAUAUCAUUUUCUAUUUGUAUGUAUUGUCAUAAUUAUCUUUCUUACUUCCUCAUUAUCACCUCUUACUUAGCAUGGAAUUGAAAGAUACAAUAUGCUCUUGAAAUGCUUUGAAGCUCUUCAAGGUGUGAUUUCACCGACUAAGUUUGGAACUGUACAGAGCUCAAUGAUGAGCCGUGGGAGGCGUCUCUGAUUGUUGCACUGUAAGCAUGAGUGUACGUAUGAAUAUAACCAGCAGAUCCGCAAACCACAAGUGAUGACAAGCUUCUUAACACUGCUGCAUUUAACAGUUUUACCAACAAAAUGUUUUGUCGGUAUUUACUCUACCAUUCCGUCAGCAUGAAUUUUACCGACUGAUUUACGGACGGAAACAGUCCAUUGGUAAAUUCCUCUUGUCAGUAAUUUCAUUAAUGUCGGUACAAAAAAACCCGAUGGUUUUACAGAUAGAAAAUGCAAGCCAAUUGUUUUUCCACUGGAAUAUACAGACGGAAUUAUUUCUUCGGUGAUUGACAGUGGCAUAUGGAGUAAUUUUAUUCCAAACCCUCUAUAAAAUACCGAAGGAAUUAUUCCAUCGGUGAUGUAACAGUUGAAAUGGCAUAUGCAGUAAUUAUUUUUCAACUCUCUGGAAUAUAACGACCAACAAAGUUUGUCGGUAACUUCGUCCGUAAUAAUUAAAAAAUAUAUAUAUUUUUAAAAAUUAUUUAUUGAACAAAAAAAGAAAAUAAUAAAAAAUAUAAAAUUGUAUAAAAUUCAAGUAUGUAAAAAUAAAUUACCUUAGUAUAAAAGCCAAAUAUUCAUUACAAAUUUAUAUGUUCAAAUAAAAUUAAACUAGAAAAAUGGCGGCGUUGGAGGAGGCUGAUCGUUCCCGGGACCAUAUGGCCAAAAAGAGUGUCGCACGUGACCCGCGCGGCGUCCGAUGGUGAUUUUUUCGUUAUGCGUUUGCUUGAUUGGUUCGUUGGGAGUCGCCACCUAGUAUUUAAUUGAGGGCAACUAGGAAACCCGGGUGUACUGGUCUUGUCAGAGAUUCACGGGUAAGGGACUGGUUGUGGUUAGGGAAGGUAUUUGCACCCCUAACGCACCCUACCUGAGGUAAGCUGCUUCGUGGCUUUGAUGUGAUAAAGAAGUUUUAAAAAUUUUGUUCUUUCAUCGGGUAUUAGAAAUACGACUUACAUGUAAGUUCAUAAUUCUUGACCGUGAUCAAAUCAAAAUAUUAAAUUCUUCUUUAUUCUUUGCAAUUUUAUCAUAAAAAAAAUACAUUUAUAAAAAAAAAACUACAAACAAACACAUUCACUUUCACUAUAUUUUUUCUUUUCUUUUUCUUUUUUUUCUUUUUCACAUCUAUAUUACAAAAAUUCAAAACUAAACAAAAAUUACAUUAAAUAAUUUGAAAUUACAAAAAUAGCCCAAAAACAAGUCCAUAACAGUGCUGGGAAGCUUUCUGGAACUGCAUGCAGUGUUGAAGAAGGUUCCUGAACAGUUGAACAGUGCGUCGCCACGAGAAAUUCCAGGCAGCAGGGGGCGCUGCUGCGGCUUCCUCCCCUCUUCACUUCCCUGCCGGCGGUUAGGGUCUUCAUCACCUGCAAAAGAAUAAAACACCCAAACCAGUUGAUUUUAAUUUUUCUUUCUUUUUCGGAUCUGUUUCGGUCUUCUCCUUUUCAGAUCUACUUCACCGCAGAUCUUUCUUUGGUUUACAUCUUCUUCUCCUUCGCUUCAGGUGGCCGGUAGUUGGGCGGCGACGGCGCUGGAUUCAGGUUGUUGCUUUGGCCGCUGCAAUUGGUGGCUGAAGGAAAUGGCGUGGAUCUGUGGGCUGCCGUGUGCUGGCUGCUGUGGCUGACGGUGUGGGCGGCGCUGAUGGGAGGAGGAAAUGAAGGAAAAAGUCGGGGGGAAAAGGGAGGCAAAUCUGUUCUGGGGUUGCAGGUCUGCAGCAAUAGUGGAAGGAAAUGGGGGAGAUCGGCUGGCUGGGGGGCUGGUCUCUUUCGGCCGGUUCUGAUUUGCUUUUGGAUGAGGGGCGUGAGUGGUGGCUUCUGUUGAUAAGGGGAAAGGAAGGCUUGUGCGGGGAAGAUGAAGAUGACCGGGAGGGGAGCGGCCAAGGAAGAAGAAAAAAAUCAAAAACCAGCGGGGGGCGGUGUCUGCUCUUUUGUUUUGCCAAGUGGGGAGCGCUGCUGUUUGGGUAAAGAUAGGUUUAGGUUUAGGGUUAGGGUUUCUUGUAUCUCUCAAUGUGUAAAAUUACCCCCCUUCUCCUUUUGUGUGUUGUGGAGACCAGUAUUUAUAGGUAAAAAUAUUGUUUGGGUUUUUUUUUUUGUAAAUUUGAUUUUUCUUGUUUUUUUUGGAUUUUCUUAUCAACAUCGCCUCGAAUGAGGAAAAUCAGUGAUUUUAAAAAUAACGCGUUAAAAGUCAAACGCGUUCCAAAGAUCUUUGAAAAUUUAAAUUCUUUUGAGACGAUGUUGAAAAUGCUAAAAACGAUGCAAAUAUAUUAAAAAAACAUAUUUUUUUGGAUUUUCGAUGUUUUCGCUAUUUUUGGAUUUUUCUGAAAAUUUAUCAAAAACAUGGGUCAAAAAUUGGGUAGCAACAAAGAGGACGCACAUGUACCACCCAUCUGUGAUCUUAUAUCCAUCGCCAUUCUACGGAGUUCAUAAUAAUCUGCAUAGAGUCGUUCAUAUUCUUCAAUGAGAUAGGUCGUAUGUUGUUGUAAGGUCACGAACUCCUGAGACUGGGUGGUCAAUAUCGAUUGCAAGCUCCCAACGGUUGAGACACUACGGGCCAUCUACAAGUUGGUCGUGGUGUUGGAGAGUUUGCACACCUGAUUUCUAUCUGGUCUACCAGAUGAUCCUACCUCCAUCCACAAAUCUGGAUCGAAAUCCAGGUGGGUCGAAGGAUCGUUCCCGUAUCUCUCCCUUAAUCGUCUGUUAUAUGUCUCCUGGAAAUAAAAAAACUGAAAUCAUCAAAUUUAAUUCAAGUAAAUAAUAAUUUACAAAAGAAAAUGGUUGAACGAACAUACCACAAAGUGUUGAGCGCAGUAGUUAACGAACUGUUGCACCUCUUUUUGGCAGUCUUCACUCUACACGUGCGUCUCCACAAAAAGCUCCAUUGGGCUUGGCUCACGUCUAAGAGCUGUAGUCUGUAAGAAAAAAAUGUUGCAAGUAAAAUAAAUUUAUAAAUAACAACAAAUUAAUUAAAGAUAGAUGUGAUUAAAAUUAUUUUUUUUGUUAUUUUUUUAAUUUUUUAGGCUUUGUUUGGAAAAAAAAACCUAAUUUUUUUGUAAUAAAACUGUCGAAACAAGCAUAAGGGGGUGUUUGCCAAACACACCCUUAAACCAAAAAACCCUUUUAGCAAAAAUAUUGCAAGCUAAACAAGGUCUUAACCCUUUGACCCAUUCUUGACCCAACUGGGUUGACCCAAUCGAGUUGACCUGACUGGGAUGACCUAAAAUCUUUGGUUUCAACCAUAAACCGAACCAAAGAUCCUAGUUUGACCCGAAAACAACUCAAAAAGAAAACAAAAGCCAAAAAACAGAUUAAACACCAAAAAACAUGAAAAAACUUGAAAAUAACGAAUCAAAUGCAAAAAAUAAAAAAAGAACACGAAUAACAUGAAAAACAUUAGAACUCAAAUUCUAGCAACAUGAAUUCUAAUCUAGACCAUAUUUCAGGAAAUAAAAAGCACAUAAAGGAUGGAAAUCAAUCAUUGAACAAUAAUUAAGCAUCAAGCAUCGAUGAUUAUCAACCAAUAAUCACGAUUGAGUCAAAAUAAGUUUUGGUUCAAAACCAAAACCCUAUGAUUAAAACCCCCAUAAAACUUGUUAUUGAUACAAAUGAGCUCUAGACUACUAAUUAAUCAAGUCCAAUGAAGUGUUUAAUGCAAAGGAAUGGACCAAAACUGGUCCAAAACAUAGAGAUAAGCCAAUGUUAUUCCCAAGAACAUAGAACUCUGCCUUAGAAAACCCGGCUAUUGUCAAGCCACCAAAACUGGCAUUUUCAACCACUAAAAAAUGCUUUCUUCAUUUCAAAAAGUCACACUACCAUAACCAAACAUGUUUGAAUAAAAAAUAAAUAAAUAACAUCAAAAGCAUGCAAGAGGUUCAAAACUACAAACUUAAAAUAGCCUAUAUAUUUAUGCAAUUUGGAUUCAAUUUUCUUCCUAAACCUUCAAAAAAACCCAACCAAAACCUAGAAACUAAGAACAUGCAUUAGUCAACAUAAAAAACAUCAUAACCUUGCUGCCACAUCUAGUAGAUUUCAAAAGUACUUUAUUUCAUCAAAACUCAACCAACAAACAUCACUUAAGUAUUCAGAGACAUUAACAAACAACUCAAAGCAGGAUUUAAACAAUAAAACAACCUUUUUAUGUAUUAAUCAAAAUCAAAACUAAAGAACAUCAUAACAGUAAAGCAAGUUUGAAAACAUCAUUAAACAUGUAAAAUAAGUUAGAGGUAUGUCUCAUGGACAUCACCUAUUAGGUUAGUUAGGGAUUAUAUCUUUCAAAAAUUCAGAAUAGUUAUUGCCUUUCUUCCUUUUGAAAAUCCAAUCUUUUUUCAAUCUUUAACUUAUCCUUUUAGCUUUUGGAUGCCAAGUGUCGCAUGUGGGCGCAAGAUGUCGGGGGGUCAUGGGAGUCACCACCUAGUUUUUUGGUUCAAAGUCGCUAGGAAACUCGGGUAUACUGGUUUUAUCAGAUAUUCCAAGGGUAAGAGACUGAUUGUGGUUGGGUAAGGUACUAGUACCCCUAAUGCACCCUACCUGAGGUAAAGUGUAUUGUGUGGUUUAAAGGUUUUUAUGGAUUCCUAAAUGGUGGUAUGUCUAUGACUUAAGAUGGGGAUUUAUUCAUGUGAAUAAAUCUGGUUUUUUUUAAUUUAUUAUGGUUGUAGACAAGAUCCAUAUAGGUGCCCUAACAGGGUUCACCUAUCUUUAAAGGUGGAACGACUUUCCACAACUCAUGUAUUGUGAUGAAAAAUACUCCCAAUUAAAAUUGGUGAAUGUUUAAAAUAAUUUUGAGAAUUUUCUCGUCAACUCAUGAUAUUUAAAUACCAGCAUACUUGUAAGUUCAACAUUUAUACCAAAAAAUUGACAAUUAUUUCUAAUGAAUUAAUUUUUUUUAUGGAUUUUUGAAAUAUUGACAAAGUUCUAAUGAAUUCAAUAAACUGGUUAUUAAACCCAAAAUGCAUGGAAAUAUACUAAACAAAGUGGUAUUUUUUGGCCAUGUAAUAUCAAAGAAGAGUAUCUAUGUGGAUCCAAAGAAGAUAGAAACAAUAUUGAAAUGGGAAAGACCUACAACUGUGACUGAAAUUCAUAGUUUUCUAGGCUUAGCUUGAUAUUAUAGGAGAUUUAUAGAAGGAUUUUCAACGAUAGCCUCUCCAAUGACUCGACUAACUUGGAAGGAAGUUAAGUUUGAAUGGUCAAAAGAGUGUGAAACAAGUUUUCAAGAGUUAAACUCCAGGCUAACUUCAACCCCAGUAUUGGCUUUACCAAAAGGACAGGAGGGAUUUGUUAUGUAUAGCGAUGCUUCCAAUAAGGGUUUGGGUUGUGUAUUUAUGCACCACGGAAGGGUAAUCGCUUAUGCAUCUAGACAGUUGAAACCAUAUGAGAUAAACUAUCCGGUACAUGAUUUGGAGCUGACAGUUGUGGUGUUUGCUUUGAGGAUAUGAAGACAUUAUUUGUACGGGGUACAAGUGCAGAUUUUUACAGAUCACAAAAGUUUAAAAUAUUUGAUGUCACAAAAAGAAUUGAAUAUGUGACAUAGGAGAUGGAUGGAGCUAAUCAAAGAUUAUAAUUGUAUUAUUGACUAUCACCCGGGGAAAGCAAAUGUGGUGGCAGAUGCUCUGAGUCGAAAGAAUAAAGCUUUUAUUAGUGGUUUACUAGUGCUAAGUGAGCUAAAUGUGCUUUUGGAUGUGACUUCAGGAGGAAUAUUACUAGCAACGUUAGUGCUAUAAUCUAAAAUGAGAGAAAAGAUUCGAAAAGCUUAAGGUGAAGAUCCUGAAGUGAUGAAAGAAAUGAACAUUGUAUAAGUAGGCCAAGACUCUUUAUUUCGUAGUUAUGGGAAACAUAAUAUAUUUACCUGAUGAUAAGGUUUUAAAAAGUGAAGUCUUAAAAGAAGCUCAUGAGUCUAAAUUGGCGAUCCAUCCAGGAAGCACGAAAAUGUAUAGAGAUUUGAAGGAGAGUUACUGGUGGCCAAAAAUGAAGAGGGAGAUAGCAUAAUACGUGGUCAAGUGUGCCAUAUAUCAGCAGGUGAAUGUAGAGCAUCAAUGGCCAGUUGGAGAAUUACAAUCUCUUUCGAUUCCAAAAUGGAAAUGGGAGAAUAUCACUAUGAAUUUUGUAUCUAGGUUACCGAGAAGCAGGAAAGGACUUGAUGUCAUAUGGGUGAUCGUGGAUAGACUGACAAAGUCUUCUUUAUUUUUGCCUAUGAAGAUGGGGGAUUCGGUUGAAUAACUAGCUCAAUUAUAUAUUAAAGAGGUGGUGAGAUUGCAUGGUGUACCAGUUUAUAUAGUUUCUGAUAGGGAUCCUUGGUUUACAUCAAGGUUAUGGCCGAGUAUACAACGGGCUUUGGGUACCAUAUUGAAUUUAAGAAUGACUUUUGAUCCACAGACUGAUGGGCAAUCUGAAAAGACAAUUCAGAUUUUGGAAGAUUUGUUGCGGCUUGUAUUCUAAAGUUUGGAGGUCAAUGGGAGGAUCACUUGCCAUUAGUAGAAUUUACUUAUAAUAAUAGUUAUCAAUCUACUAUUGGCAUGGAACCAUAUGAAGCAUUGCAUGGAAGGGGAUGUUGAACUACAGUAUGUUGGGAUGAAGUUGCGGAAAGAAAAUUAUUAGGACCUGAACUGGUGCUGAUCACGGUUGAUAAGGUGAAGGUGAUAAAGUAAAUGAUGAAAGAAGCUCAAGACCGGCAAAAAAGUUGUGCUGAUAAUUGACGGAGACCUCUAGAGUUUCAAAUUGGAGAUGUGGUAUUUUUAAAAGUUGCACCAUGGAAGCAUGUGAUUCGGUUUGGAAUGAAAGGCAAAUUAGCACCCAGGUAUAUCGGGCCAUAUAAAAUUAUAGAAAGAAUUGGGACGGUCCUAUCGAAUAAUACUGCCACCACAUUUAGAUAUGAUACAUAAUGUGUUUCAUGUUUCGAUGCUGCGGAAAACAGACUUGGAUCUUGCAUGAAUUUUGCCACAAAUUUCGAUGGAAGCACGGGAAGAUUUAACUAUGGAGGUACAACCAGUGCAAAUUAUGGACCGAAGUAUAAAAGAGUUACGAAAUAAAAAGGUGUCGUUAGUAAAGGUAUUGUGGAGAAACUCUCGAAUAGAAGAAGAAACCUAGGAGAGAGAGUCAGAAAUGAAGAAGAAAUAUUCUAGAUUAUUUUUUUACAUAGGUAUGAAUUUAGAGGACAAAAUUUUUUUUAGGAGGGGAGAAUGUAAACCCCCCGGAUGAAAAAUAAUAAAUUGACUAGUUUUAUGUAAAAUAAAACAUUUCAUAACUGUUGAUCGGGUUAUUAGACAAUUCUAAAAAUUUACGUGGAGCCUUCUAAUAUGAUGCCUUAGCUUGGGUUAAAAUUUCAGAAUUGUUGGAGAAAUUCAGAAAUUUGACAAAAAAUCACAAUUUGACAAAAAAUCACAAUUUGACUAGUUUUACGUUAUUGGACGUAAUUUUCAAUCCAAUCCUCAGAUUGAGCUGAAAUUUUACGAGGGACUUUAAACUAUAUUGAAUAAAAUUUGGUUAAAGUUUUAGGAUGAACGGAGCUCGGUAUUGCUAAAAAACAAUAAGGACCGUCAAAUAGAAGUAAAAGUACUCAUUAAGGGUAAAAUGAUUAUUUGCCAUUAAAAAAUAAAACAAAUCAGCUCUCCUUUCCUUUUAUAUGCUGCCGACUGUGCAGAAGCAGAGUGGGAAAAGAAAGAAAAGAAAAAAAGCAAGUGAGAAAGAGAGAAAAGUAAGGAAAAAAUAAGAAAAGUGAGAGAAUAACCUUGUAAACUUACAAAGUCCAACUUAUAAAACACUAAUCUAAGGAAGAAUCAAGUGAAGGAAGGAGGAAUUGAGAGAGAGAAUUUGGCUAACCUUGGGAGAGAAGAGAAAUUGGAAGAAAGUCAAUUGGUAAGUAUGAGAAGUUUGGAUUUAAUGUUUGAUUUAGAUGUUUUUAAGCUAAAUUGAUUAAGUUAGGAAGUAAUUUCAUGAAAUUUUACUUUAAUUUCCCUUAAAUCCUUGAUUCUUGAACUUAGGGUUCUUAUGGGAAUUUGGGGGAAUUAGUAAGGGAAGGAAAAAUGAUGAAGUUGAAGUGGAAUAGCAUGAAAACAAGUUGAAAUAACAAGUAAAUGAAGAAAAAUUUGGGGGAGGAAAAAGAAGAUGACAUUUGGCCAAAUGAAGGAAAAGUGGAGGAAUGAGUUUUGAUGUUAAUUUUUAGGAAACUAUGUUUAAUCAUGAUAUUUGAAAUAUGCAAGAAUGACUAAAUAAAGAAAUAACAUUAAAGUUGAGAAAAAUAAGUAAAUUCAAUUUAAAAGAGAAUUGAACUAGUUAAAAAGAAAGUAUGAAGACAAGAUGUUUAGAUUGUGUUUGAAUAUAGUUCUUACAUAUGUUUAGAUAAAAUAAAUAAUAUGAUGUGAAGGCAUAAAGAAUAGAAGGAUUAUUUGAUGGAGGAAUUAUGAACAUAAAGCAAGAAAAGAAGUCACUUUUUUUUAAAUAUGUGGUUGUAUGUGAAAUGAUGGUGUUAUGUUUGAGAAUGAAUUUUUAUCAGAAUGAAUUAAAACAAAAUGUGCUUUGCGUUUCGGCACGUAAGAAAAAUAUUGAUGUACUAAUGAUAUAAUGAUAUUUGAUUGAUUCAGGAGUUGUGUCUGGAGCUGGUUAUCAAACAGGAGGAGCCGGGUCAUCACGAGCACAAGGUAAGUGAUUCGUCACCUUAUUUGUAAGUUUUCCUUAAAUAUCUAUGUUGUUUAUUUAAUUGAUGUUAAAAGAAUGAAGCAAAUGAAUAAAUUAAGUGAUUAUUACAACUGAAUAAUUGGUAAUUUAUGUGAAAUUACCGGAAUUACUAUUUGGCUUACAAAAGAGGUUAGCCGGAUGCUGGGCAAUUCAUAUGAAAUUACCGAAUUGAUUUUGGCAACCAAAAUAGGUUAGCCAGAUUCCUUGGGUAAUUAUGAGAAUUACCGGGUUUAUUGGUUAACAAAGAGGUUAAUCAGAUAUGGGGUAAUUCGUAUUGAAUUACCGGAUUGAUUGGCUAACAAAAGAGGUUAGCAGGAUGAUGGGUAAUUUAGAUGGAAUUAUCGGAUUUAUUGGUAACUGAGGAAGGAUAACCAAAUUUGUGGGUAAUUAUAUGAAAGUGUUAGAAUUAUUGGCAAUCGAGAUGAGUUAGCUGGAUAUUUAAUUUUUGAAAAGAUUAUGUAAAUUAAUUGAAUGAAGUUAGAAGUAUUAAAUUUCAGAGGUUAAGAGUAAAAUAAUUAAUAUAUGACUAAGAUAUUGAGUAAAUUAAUUAAUGUGGUUAUUGUUGAAACAGGUACGCGAGGUGAUGCAAAUCGUUAGAUGUAGGAUUUUUCUGUUUAUGAAUUAUUAUUUUGGAAUGUAAUAUUUAUGUCUUUGUUUUCUUUGAAAACCCUUAUGUUGUCAAAAUCAGAUAGAAGAUGUGUAGUAUGUAAUGAUUGUAUUACCUUCGUGUUGUAAAAAUCAAAUAGAAGAUGUGUAAUAUGUAAUGGAUGUAUUAUAUAUAUGUAUAGAUGUUAGUAUGGUAAAUCAUUUUCAGAAUGAUAAGAUAAGUUUAUAAUAUAAAGUAGUAGAAUACAUUAUAUGUUUUAAGACAAUAUGACUCUUAAUCUUAAUAUUUUAUCCAUUUAGUCUAAAUGCAUAUAUGUAGUUAAUUAACAUUUAUUACUUUUUAGUGAUGAAAUUGUUUAUCUUUCAAUUUGUUUUAGUAAUUCUUUUAUGUUGACUUGUUAAUUCAUAUUAUGAGACUUGAAUAUGUUGAUAACUAUAAGUUUUGAGAGAUUGAUUGAUGAAUGGGAUGUGAUCCAGGAUGAUUGGAUCAAGAUGGAAGUUGUAAUGGCAUAUAAUAGAAGUGUUGUUGAUAACUUGAUACCAACAAAAAUAGAGGAAACUCUGCCAAACUUUUCAAAAAAUAAAAUAAAAAUCCAUAAUCUUAGACAUAUUAUUCAAUACUUGACAUUCGUAAAGAAAUGUUUGAGAUUUUAUGACAUUAUAAUUUGAGGAUGUUAUAGUUUGGUACUAAGACAAACCAUGUAUUUUAUAUUUUAAACAAGAUAUGAUUUUUAUUUUUAUUUUUGGAAGACUUGGUCGUAUGUUAUUUAAGAUAAAAUUGUAUUUUUGAAAAAAGAGAUUUUUUUUUUGUUGUUUUUGUAAAAGGUAAAACGAUUCGUUUAACAUCGAAGAAGCGUCUCGUGUGUGUGUCACGAUUUUAAAUAUUAAAUACGUGAUGAUUGGAAAAUAUGGAGAACUCAAAAUUAAUUGCAAGAUGAUCUUCCAAAGAUUUUGAAAAUGGACGAAGAUAGUGUUUAGUAAAACACAAAUAAAUUAUUUUUAUGAAGGCUAUUUUAACCACGAUAUUAAUUCAAAACAAAAUAUCGUUCAUCAACUUGAAACGAGCAACACCAAAAAUCCACAUGAAUCUUAUUAAUUUCACAAACUUUGUUCAAACUGCGUAUUAAUUCAAAGGAAUUAACACAAACCCAAACAUGCAUCAAUAUUUAAUGUCCAAAAAACAAUCACAAUCUAAUAAUAAACUCAUAACUCACCACAAAUACUCAAAUCACCUCAAAAUCAAUAAUACACAUCAAACCAAAUUAAAAGUGUCCAACAGUCCAUAAAAAAUACACAAUAAUAAGCAUUUUUCCUAAAAUUUCACAACAUUGUAGCAAUUUAUCUGAAACAAUAUUAGUAAUUAAAAAACUUCAAUAUAGAAAAGCGGUGAUGUAUACAAGUGGAUUUGUCUAAGCAUGAAAGCCGUUCAAGAGAGGAGUCACCAAUAUAUAUUCCUUUCUUAACUCUCAAUUAUAUAUAUUUCUUAUCACUUUAUUCAUGAACUCUUGAUAAAUCAUCAGACCACCGCCAGGACCUUAAAUCCAGACCUUUGCCUACCGCAUUAAUUGACAAGAAUAUUUCAAGCAUUUAGAACCUUAAAGAUACCAACACAAAAUUGGGGCAGAUUUUUUUUUUUUUUGAAAGAUGUGUAUAUUAUUUAAACGCCAAAGCCUGGCGGGAGUAGUACAGAAACUACAUAAUAUCUUACUAUGGCAAAAAGCCAUAAAUAGGAUAAAGCGCAGUAUAAGAAAAACAAAAGCAAAGAAAACCUUAGAAUAGCCAUCCGAAUGAGCUCAAAGCUAAACAAUCCUCUACAAAACAAAAAUGAAAAUAACGCAAAGACAUAGUGGGAGAAGACACAAGAGCAAGGCCAUAGAAAAAAAAGUGUAGUCAAAGCCAGGCAACAAAAUCACUUGAUCUUUGCACUCCUUGUUUAGCCAUGCAAUCUGCCAUGCAAUUACUUUCACGGAAGAUAUGGGAGAAGGUGAUUGAACCAAAAUAUGCUUUCAGCCUAUUAACAGAGGAGAACAGAUUAUGAUGCUUCCAGGGACGGUUGUGAGGCUUAUUCAUCCAGCUAAUAGCAUUGACAGAGUCAGAUUCUAUGAUGAGGUGUUGAUGGUGGAAGAGACAAUUAGAUGCUGAAAGUUCAAUGGCUUUGACAAUAGCCCUUAACUCAGCAAUAUUAGAGUCUAAAAUACCAACUGAAACAGAGAACAUACCGAGAAGAUGUCCAUGAUGAUUUCGCAGUACACCACCUAUUCCAGAAGGGCCUGGCUUACCAAGAGACGAGCCAUCCAUGUUCCAUUUAAGGCUAUUAAUCAUAGGAGGAGACCACAUAUUAUGAAUCCUGAAGGAGUGGGCAUUGGACCACCGAAGUAAGCCAUUUGCCGAUCUGAUCAGAUCUGAAGGGGAGUAUGGGAAAUCAGAAUGGAUAGCUUUUAGCCAUAGACAUAGACAGGUGAUAAUAAGAAAGAAUAUUGAAUCAUAGUCAGGUGUCUUCUGUUGGAAGAUCAGAUCAUUUCGAAGUAGCCAAAGAGACCAUGCCACUGAGAAGAACAACAUCAGCCACGCCUUCCUCUGAAAAUGACCAUGCACCAUGGAAGUCCAUUGAGACCACAAAUCUGAGAAGCUCUUUGGGCAACACCAAACUAAACCCCACCACUUAAUGAUUUUGGACCAAAUCAGCCAAUGCUUAUGGCAUUGAAGCAGGAUAUGGUCCACCGAUUCUGCCUCCACUAGGCAGAUAGGGCAAUUUGAUUCUGAGCUACUCAAUAUACCCCUUCGAACCAACAUGCAUCGGGUGUUGAUUCUGUUAAUGAUAGCCAUCCAGCAAAAGAUCUCUACCUUAGGAGGGACAAUACCUUUCCAAAUUCCAGCAAACGAGAAGGCAUUGUUUGUGGAAGGCUUUGGGCUUAACAAUCCAUAGAGAGAUUUAACUGAAAAUCUUCCUGAAUUAUUGUCCUUCCAUAUUAGUCUAUCCUCUCCAUCUUUGUCCAUGAGUACAGUCGAUAGGAUUGCAUAAAGCUGAUCGAGCAAGCCAAUGCUGCGCCCCCGUAGCGGACGUAUCCAGGAAAAAAACCAAAUCCACUCAUACCCUUCCCACAUUCCCAUUUUAGCAAUGCUGGCAGCUUUGUCAUUGGAUAAUUGGAAAAGAGUAGGGAAGUGCUCUGCUAAACAGUGGUUAUUAAGCCAGCAGUCAAGCCAAAAUUUAGUCUUUUUGCCAUUUCCGAUAAGAACCAGAGAUUGCUCUUUCACAAUAUCCUGCAGGUUAUUAUUUCUCACACAAUGAUUGACAAUUCGGGACCAUGUAGUUGCAGCUCCUGGAAUAGGAGCUUGCAGCAGCAGAUUAGAGCAAUUGGUGAUGUGGAUGCUUUUGAUCACAUCCUUCCACAAACUUGAUUCCUCCGACCCAAACCUCCAUAACCAUUUAAAGAGCAGAGCUGUGUUUUUGUCCCUUAAGGGACCAAUCCCAAGGCCACCCGCUUGUUUUGGAAGAGUAACAGUGGCCCAGCUGACAUUGCAUAUUUUGUGUCUUUCCUCAUUUCCAGACCAGAGGAAGGAUCGAAGUUUGUGAUCAAUUAUGGAGGCAACCGAAGCAGGCAUAGGGAACAUAGAUAGGUAGUAGAUGGGGAGAUUGCUGAGCACAUAUUUAAUCAAGCACAAACGACCCCCAAUAGAUAAGAACCUGCAUUUCCACGAAGCCAACCGGAAACUGAUAUUAUGUAAAAUAGGAUUCCACAUUGUAGCUCUGCCCAGGUUUCCAUCAAUGGGGAGUCCAAGAUACAUGAGAGGCAGCUGAUCCUACUUGCAUCUAAGAAGCUGAGCCGUGAAGUUACAUGUAUGAGCUGCUACACCCACACCGACAAUGCUACUUUUAUAAAAAUUGACCUUCAACCCCGAGACAAGUUCAAAGCAUAAUAGGAUACGUUUAAUGUUCUGCAUGCUAUGUAAAGAGUCUGAACUGAAUAUAAGGGUGUCGUCCGCAAAUUGUAAGUGAGAUAUGACAAGCCCUGCAUUGCCGAUGUUUAUACCUGAAGUCAAACCCAAAUCACAGCCACGCUGCAACAUACAACUCAACCCCUGGACUGCAAUGUUGAAGAGAAACGGAGAGAGAGGGUCUCCUUGGCGUAGGCCUUUAGCUAAGCAGAAUUCCUCCGUGGGAGACCCAUUAACAAGCACAGACAUUUUUGCCGCUGAUAUGCAUUGCAUAAUCCACCCUCGCCAUCUAUUGCCAAAGCCCAUACUAGCCAUGAUUUCAUUAAUAUAUUCCCAUAACACCGAAUCAAAGGCUUUGUGAAAAUCUAAUUUGAAGAGAUAAGCUUUACCCUUUUUCUUCUUAAUGAAAGAAAGGACCUCAUUUGCAAUCAAGACGCUGUCUAAAAUUUGCCUCCCUUUGAUGAAAGCAUUUUGAUGAUGAGAGAUGACCUCUGGCAUAACAUGUUUCAACCUGGUUGCUAGAAUCUUUGAAAUGAUCUUGUAUAGGCUGCCAACCAAACUAAUAGGUCUGAAAUCUGAUAGCUUGUUAGCACCUUUAAUCUUCGGAAUAAGAGUAACAAAGGUGCUAUUGAUACCAGCAGGGAGGAGAUUAGUCCGAUAGAAGUCAUCAAUCAUCUGGAUAAUAUCCUCACCUAUAAUGUUCCAUGCUUUCUUGAUGAAAAGGAAGUUAAUACCAUCAGGACUUGGAGCUUUAUUUCUAUCACAAUCCCACACAGCUGUUUUAAUCUCUUCUGCAGAAAAUGGCAAUUCAAGAGCAGCAGAGGAUGAAGGCUUCAGCCUUGAGAAUUCCAGGUUUGAACAUGAAGCUCUAGGUCUGUUCUGGUGGGAGUAUAGAUUGCGAAAAAAGUUAAAGACAACUAGCUUCACAUCGAUUGGUUUAGAUAGGAUCUGUCCAUCAACCUCCAGGCAUGCAAGCUGAUUCUUUUUCUGUCUUGUUGUUGCAGCUAAAUGAAAGAAUCGAGUAUUUUUAUCUCCAAGCUUACACCACUGAAUUCUUGAUUUCUGAUGCCAGGCAGACUCUUGAGCUCUAUACAGGAUUUUGAGUCGGGAGGCAAUGGAAUUACUUCUAAUCAGUUCAUUAGCACUCAAGACCCUGCACUCAUUUUCACGAUCCAUUGAGUCAGCUUCAAGUUCCAGUUCGGCAAUUCUGUUAUUCAUGCUUCCUAUAUUAGCUUUACUCCACUGCCGACAUCUCUCUUUCAACAUCUUUAGAGCUGGGACCAUUUUCCUUGUGCCAGAUUUUGAAACCAUGAUUGAACUCCAAAAGCUCUGAAUCAUAUUCCUAAAAUCAGACACAAGCCACCAGCAAUUCAUGAAGCGAAAGGGUUUCGGGCCCCAAUUUGUAGAGUCUAGCAACAGAUGCAGAGGCCUAUGAUCAGAUGAAUAUUUUGAGAGACCAAAUAAGGUAGAUGAUGGGAAAGUCUGCAACCAAUCCCCCGAUACAAAUAUUCUAUCAAUACGGCUCGCCGCAUUACCUCGAGACCAUGUAAAUUUCCUCCCAUUUAAGGGGAGCUCCAUAAGAUUACAAUCAUCAAUGCAAUUUUUGAAUCGUGUCAUGGAAGAUGUUAUUUGUGAGCUGCCUUUCCUAUCUGAUGGGAAUAAGGUUUCAUUAAAAUCACCCGCAAGACACCACGACUUGCUAACACUAUCCCUGAAUGUAACAAGAUAAGUCCACAACUCAUUCUUCAGGUUCCCACCAUUCGGAGCAUAUACAAAAGAGACUAGGCAAUCUAGAUUGGACCGAGUGAAGCUGCCUUCAAUAUGCAAAAUACGGCCAUUCAUAGCAACAGAACAGCUAGAGACACAAAAAAGAUCCGGAUUCCAUAUACAUAAUAUUCCCCCCGAAAGGCCUAAUGAGGGAACUGCAUACCAAGCCCUAGGAUGACGACCCCAUAUAGCAGUAAUAGUGAAAUCAUUCAAAGUUUCCAAUUUUGUUUCCAAAAUACCCAGGAUAUGAAGAUCAAAUUUUCGACCAAGAUUCCUCAAACAUCUCUUUUUUUCUCUCCCCCCUAAGCCACAUACAUUCCAUACAAUUAUACUACCCAUAGGAGUGAUUACAGAGACCAUACCUGCAGACUAUUUACGGAAGCAAAUCACGGCUUCUUCCUUAGGAUCCACUCUUCCUGUUCUCGGUCUAGGAAUCCCUGCAGUGUCUGAGUCAUGAGUGUGCUAUCGUCAUGCCCUUGGAGAAUAGCUUGUCCAACUUCCCAGCAAGCAGUGGCUUCUGCCCUAUUAUCAGAAUGUGCAGGCUCAGUUGCUUCAUCACCAGCAUUGGUGUCGGGUCUGUAUCUUGAACUACUUGCCUCAUCCUCACCAAUCAAUUCCUUACCAGCUUUGAUAAUAGCAUUUAUGUUCUUUAUCCCAUUAUCAGAAACUGAGUAUUCAACAAUUACGGUCUCUGAUUGCUUACCGCUUUGUUUUCCCAGUUGACGUGAUUUCCUCCUCCUAAGAGAGUGUGAUCUGCGUCUGAGCUUCGUUGCUUUUUUUCUGUGGGUUUUCCUGUCUCCUACUUCCAGAGCACUAAGCUCAUAUGGAUCAGCAAUAGGAGUGAUGAAGGUUGUAAAAGAUGGCCCAAUGCUCGUUGAUUUCUGCUUUUUCUUACGCCCCAUCUGCUUUAGGAGUCCACUGUCAUAAUUUAUAUGUUGAUUCAGCCCAUCCUUAGCAGUAAAACAAGAAACUUUUUGCAUAGCCACCCCUCUGCAUGCAACUGAAUCCACCUCAACAUAUACGUAAGGUACCAAGGCUAACUGGUUAUCGCCUUCGUACGUACUCUCAUCAAAUAAAACCGCAUGUUUGCAGAUUUCAGUAAUUUCUGGGUAAAGGUACCACGGUGAAACUUCAGACGUGGUGAGUGUGCUAGCAAGCUGAGUUUGGGUGCCCAACAAACCAGUGAAUUCGGAUUCAAAUUCGGGUCUUUGUUUUGUCUCUUUGUGAGUCGUUGCAGCUUUAUUAGUUUCCUCAAAAAAAUCAUCUUCAUCGUCAUCGGAUAGCACAGAUGUUGAGCACAAUGAUACAUCCAUGGAGUGUUUGACUGUUGUGAGAGAGGGGAUAAACUCACCUUUGAUUUCUUUCAAACUGACCUCAACCUGCACUCCAUCAAGCUGGAGCAACACUUGAUCAUGUAAAGGUUCCAGCUUUGUGGUUCGAAUAAGAACCCUAAUACCUGAUAUGGACCCCUGACUAACACAAGAAGUGUCGUAUCCUACAAUAUUUCCCCAGUUCUGAAGCAAAAUAUUGAUACAGUUUCUGUUCCACCCUUCCAUUGGCAAACCAAAUAUGGAGAUCCAAGCAAAUCUGUCAGAUGCUCUAGUCCUUGUUUCCCACUGUCUGAGAUUGCUGAAUAGAGAAUGCAGCACAGAUACUUUAUUCCUUUGUUCUUGCACUGAGGCUAACUGAUCCACAUAGGUAAUAAUCACCUGGCUAGCUCCCAAAAAACGAAAGCUCACAGCUUUGACACUUGAUUUUAAAACCGUUGCCUCCAGUGUUGCUACAUCCACAUUUGGCAAGAUAUUUCCCACUAAGCUCCUAUGCAGAUUUUUCAUACCAUGAAAAAUUGGGGCAGAUUUUUCAUACCAUGAAAAAUUGGUCGUAAUAAGAACCUUUUUUUUUUCCUGGUCCUGCUCGACUUGGAAAGGGGUCCUUGAGGAUCCAAUUUGGAGUAUCUUGUGGGUUUAGUCAAAAAGGUCAUUCUCAGUCUUCACACUUCAUGCACAAGGAAAGAAUAUGUUUAAUUCGUCAAUCGACUCAUAGCUAACUCUGUAACAAAUGUUUGGGAUGAAGGGAAAAGUAUAGCUUUUUCUAAUUAGAGAAAGAAAUUGCAUAAACUGUGAAUGCUGUAAUUAUUUUCAAAGAACUUAACCAUAAAUCUACCCUUCUUGCAAGGAACAAAGCCUUCUUCUCUAUAUUUUCAAAGAAUGAUAUAAUUAUUAUGGUGAAUCAUGCAUGCAUAUCCAGAAUUUGAUAUUUCUUAAUUGAAUUUUGGAAAAGUCGUAAUACUUGGUAAAGCCUUUGGAUCGAUAGUUUCUCUGAGAUGUGAAUGGAAUUAACAACAUAGAGAAUAAUAAAAAAGAAAAAGCAACAGAAUCAAUCAUCAGAAGUUGUGAGAAUUAUAUCUUUCUUUGAAGAUUUUGAUUUUGACCACAGUGAACCUAUAAGCUUAACUAGAGAGGCUUCUAUGAUUUCUAUAUAUACGGACUAGCUUGGCUUCAAACCAUAUGUACAAGUCAAGCUCAAACUCAGAACCUCGUUAAACUGUUUCUUCUUAUUAUUUUUUAGUGUCAUUUUGCAAAUGGCUCGCCAAGCAGAGCGCCUUUCCAAGAUUGGGUUGGAAGGACUUGCACUAAUAGAUGAGUGGUACGAGUGCCCUAGGAGGUCUUCAACUCCUCAAGAACACCAUCAGCAACGAUAUGACUAUUGUGGAAUCCAAGUUCCCAUGAUGAAAAUGGAUGUUAUCAACAACAAGGAGGCAGCUAAACAUUAUGGUGGGGUGGUGAUUAUGGAUUAUCGAAAGAAAAAGUUACUCUAUUGAGCUCUUUAGUGAUAAUGUAUUGGGCCUUGCUUUGCUUGGUUAAGUUAAUUACCAAGCAUAAUUAAGUCGUUUUUAACUUUAUUGUUUUCUUCUUCUUUUUCCUAUGUUUUAGAGUCAGCUACUCCAAAAGAUGAAAAAGUAUGAGUGCCUUAAAGUGAUUUGCUGCACCUCUUAUUUCUCUAUGAUUUGUUGGGUUUCUUGAAAUACAUGACAUAGUGAAAAUAGUUUUUUCAAGUCUCAUGGAUCUCAUUAAACAACAUAAAUUUAUUUAGGAUUUGUGCGAAAAUUAUAUGAAGAUAGUUCUUCGUCCUAGAAUUUGAUCAACACUUGAAGGCUGUGUUUUCGUAAAUCAAGUCCUUACUUGAUUUUUCUAAAUCUAGAAUUUUAAUCUCAUGUUCUAAUUAUAUUAUAGUUUUCAAUUUCAAAAACUUAUUUACAAUCAAUUUGUUAUUACCUACUUUUGACUCCACGAAAAAUCAAGAAAAGAAAAAAGAAAAAAUAGAAAGAGAAAAUCCAAAAUACAAGAGGAUAUACAUGAAAAAAACCUAAAAGAUUACUCAAGUUGAUGGUGAAGGACCAAAUUACUAGUGGAAAAGUUGGAGGACUAAAAUGUUCAAAACUACUAUAAUUAACAACCCAAUUCUAAUUGACAAGGUUCCUUUUGGUGAAAAUAUUUCUAUUAGGGUAAAGAAAUACAAAUUUGGAUAGGUAAGGACUUAAUGAGAAUUUUGCAAGGCUUAAUUAAUUUUAUUGAGGACUUGAUUACUGGGAAAAUCAGUUUUUAGAGUUAAUUUAGGUGUUAAUUGAAAUAAAUUAAAGUUCAGAGACUUAAUUGGUUUUUUAGGAGGUUUAAUUGGAUGAAUCAAGGGCUUAAUUGUUAGAAUAUUAAAGUUUGGUAUGCAAUUAGGAACUUGAUUGAAGAAUUCUAAAACCAAGAACAAAACUGAAAAAAAAACGCAUGAAGUGGUAUCAGAAUCUAUUAUCCUUUUAUUAUUAACAAAACGGAAGCCAUAACUUACUGUUUAUACUGUAAUAUUAGGAUCUUCUCUGCCUUCUCCUCUCCAAAGGCCAUUGAGAGGUACAAUGUCCAGAAUGCAUCUAAGGAUAACCAUAUGUCCAUAUCCAUAAGAUCUCAAUGGAUUGCCUCUCACUACAGAAUCGCCUCUCACUACAGAAUCGAGCACAUCUUUAAGCUAGAAUAAAGUGCCUUCACUUAUUAUUUAGCAUUAUUGCGCAGGACAAGUCUUCACUGCUUAUUUCCUUAACAGUUUUGUCACUAUAAAAAAUUCAAUGAAUACAAACGGAUUUGCUGAUUGAAUUUUUCUAUCGGUAUUUUAUGGUGUUAUUUACCAACCAAAUUUUUUCCCUUGCUAAAAGGAUAAUGUCCAGAACGCUUCUAAGGAUAACCAUAUAUGCAUAUCUAUAAGAUCUCAAUGGAUUGCCUCUUACCAUAGAAUUGUAAAUAAUGAAGACUAUUUUACAAGGUUUUUAUCCUACAUUUGAAAAAACACAACUUAUUUCUUGUAAACAUAGAGUCUAUAUAAGGUUUUAUAUUACACAUUGAAAAAAUAAAAUAUUUAUCUAGUAUUUAUAUAGUAAACUUUGAUACGUGAUAGUAACCAAAACAAAAGGGGUAGUGGGCUUGCGUGUAUAAAGUUGAGCCGAGCAGGAGAAAAACCUCUGAUUACUCUCCGACGUGUGAGGCAAUGCCUUUCUGAACCUUUUGUCUCUAGCAAUAAUUUGUUUUUGGCUCUUAAAUUGAAACCACAAUUUUUUUAAAACUUAGAAUUAAUUUUCUAUUAGUCACAAAAUCCUAACAACUCUUUUAUUUUAAAACGUUUUUAACAUUUACAAUUCUUUAACUUCCUAACAGCUCUUUUAUUUUUUUGAAUUGUUGUAAAAACUCUUUAAUUUUCUAAUUUAUUUUCUGCCUAGUUGUUCCAUUUUAACAACCUAUAUAUGUCAUGCACUCUUACAAUCAUAGUGUGCUGAAAAAACCAUAGUAUUUUUCUGUGUUUGCAAAACUUGCUGGCAUUUCCUUUCGAUCUUGGUCUAGCUGUUUCCGUAACCCUUGUUUUAGAAAAAAUCUUGUUGAAAUCUGGAAUAUAACCUUGUGUUGAGAAAAUAUAUUUAAGGACAAUGUUUGUGCAUGCCUCAAGUUUUAUUUUAUUUCUAUUCUUCAUCUUAUUUUAUUACAACAUCCAGCACAUCCUUAAGUAAAUAAAGAAAGCUAGAAUAAAGUGGCCUCAGUGAUUAUUUAGCAUUAUUAAGUAGGCCAAGUACUCUUCACUGCUUAUUUCCUAUUAGUUCUGUAUUGUGGAAUUGCACUUACAAAUAAAGAACUUGUUCUUGAUAUUUUCGUACAGAAUUUCUCUCUCGAAUAGUCGGUCAAUAAAGUCACUUCGUUUAUUCGGAUUUGAGGCCGGCCAUGAGAUGGAGAGGUUGUGUCACAUUAAUUAUGUCAUGUUACUUAGGUUAACUAGAAUAAGAAAUAAAGAUAUAGGUUUUGGAAAGAAUAAAGAUCAGUUAAAGAAGGAAAAAAAAAAAGAAUAGAAAAAAAGAUUAUCAAAAAAAGAAUCAGAUUCACCAUUAAACUAAAGAGUCUCAUCGAUUCUACGAAACUUGUCGGAAGGAAUCAUUUGUUCAAUAAUUGAAUGCGAUUUUUGCUUUAUAUAUAUUUUAGGAACUUUGCACUAGAAAGGGAACAUUUGUGCCACCAAGUACUAACACUAGAAAGGGAACCUUUUUUUCCCAGUGUUAAUAGAUACUUUUUUUUAUAUAUUUUUGACAUUUCUCUUCUUGAUUUUUCUUAUUAAAGCAUGUUUGUUUUUGCAUUUCAAAAAUGCUUUGAAAACAUUUUGAAAAUUUUUAAUCGUUUUCUUUACUUCAAAUUUUAGGGGAGACUUUUGAUAAUAUUUUCAACAUUGUAGCCGACUUUUGGUUGCUCAAUCUUGGUUCUUGAUUGAACUUUCAACUCUUCAAAGAAUUGACCAUUCUUUGUUGUGAAUUUAUACUUCUUUUGCUCGUCUCCAGGUGUAGGCGUUGUGAUCGAGUUGGUUUAUAGUCUUGUUGCCUUGGAGCAAGUCUUUUAUUGUGAUAAGCUCAUUCAAAUCUCAACAAACUUGGGUUAGAUUGAUCUUGGGGUCGCGUAUACCAUUAAAUUCCGCUAGGGUUUGCUUCACUAGACCUUCUCUUGGAUCUAGACUUGUCAUACUAGUCUAUAAAUAUAUAUAUUAGAACAUCCAUAUAAUCUGUCUAGAGCAGAUACUCAUCUAAUUAUGGCAGACCCACAUAUGACAGCUCAGAAUCACCUGUUAUCGCAAACCCAAUUACAUCAUUAAUGGUUUUUCAAGGUAAGUCAUGAGGAAUUUGAAGCAUAUAAAACGAUAUAACUUGUCCCAAUAUCAUAAAAAUGUUAAAAAAAUGUGAGUAUAUGAACCCAUGAAGCGGGAUCAGAAUCUGUUUUCCUAUUGUUAUUAACAAUACGGAAAGCCAUAACUAACUGUUUGUACUAUAAUAUUGGGAGUGAGAGGUACAAUGUCCAGAAUGCUUCUAAGGAUAACCAUAUCCAUAAGAUCUCAAUGGAUUGCCCCUUACUACAGAAUCUAGCACAUCCUUAAGUAAAUAAAGAAAGCUAGAAUAAAGUGCCUUCACUGAUUAUUUAGCAUUAUUGAGCAGGCCAAGUCUUCACUGCUUAUUUCCUAUUAGUUCUGUAUUGUGGAAUUGCACUUACAAAUAAAGAACUUGUUCUUGAUAUUUUCGUACAGAAUUUCUCUCUCGAUUAGUCGGUCAAUAAAGUAACUUCGUUUAUUCGGAUUAAUUUGAGGCCGGCCAUGAGAUGGAGAGGUUUUGUUAUAUGGAAUCAGAUUCACCAUUAAACUAAAGAGUCGGAAUUAAGGAAUCAUUUGUUCACUAAUUGAAUGCGAUUUUUGUCUUAUAUAUAAUUUAGGAACUUUGCACUCGAAAGGGAACAUUUGUGCCACCAAGUACUAACAAUAACUGUCCAUAGUUUUGCAUGCAUAGACCCUUUUUUCCCGGUGUUAAUAGAUAUUUUCGGACCAACUUGAAAGCAAUUAUUAGAGAUAUCAAUUCAAUCUGAAUUCAAUAUGCAUACAUAUAUAUUACUUUUUUUUUAUUUUAUAUUAAAUAAUAAAUAAUGUUUAGGAAAUAAAAAUCUAAAUGGAUCGAUGAAUAUAAUAUUAGUUUCUAAAUGAUACAACAUAGCUAGAAGAAACUGGAGGUUAUGAUUGGUUAGAAGGGACCUGAUAUAGCUAAAUGAGGGUCAAACCACCAACAAAUUACGUAGAUGACUUAACAUUUACUUUUAUGGUUUAAUAAAAUAGGAAUAGGUUCAAGAAAAGAUAUAUUCAUGUCAAACUAAUAAAGUAUCUAAAACAAGUCAUAGCUUUUUAUCCGACCAUUAGAUAAAUCUCAAAUUUUUACUUAGAUUCCCUAAGCCCAUCUCUAUGGAGGAGCUCUUUGGCAAUCCAUCCUCUAAAUGGAUUUCCUCAAAUUAAAAUGAGAAGAUCCGGCUCAAGCCAAUUUUGUUGUUGUUUUUUUUUUUCUUCAAAAUUUUAUGUUUUAUUUCGGAUUUUCCAUUAUUUUUCAAAUUAAAGAAACCGAGAUAAAAUACCCUGAAUCUUCUUUCAUAAUUUGCUUCCGAUAAGGUGUAGUGUUUUUGCUACUUUUACUUUUGGACCUGACUUGUUUCCUGACCGGUAGAAAUAGCAUUGGUCCAAAAGCACUAGUCCAAAAGCAGGGAAGCUUUUGUUUUCUUUAAUCACAUGAUCCGAUAUUCUCAUUUAUGCCCAACACAAAUUCAUAGAUGUGGCUCUAAUGAUUGGCUGACAACAGUUGUUAAUGAGCAGUGUUUGCGUCCCUUAUUUUUCAGUUUACUAAGUAUUUAGAACAUUCAAUUCCAAUCCAAAGUCGAUAAUAAUAAACUCUUGGUGAUCGGUUUUGUCAUCGAUGGUGAUCGGACGACAAAAAAACAUCCCGGUUUUGUCAUCAAUUAUCGGUUUCCAAUCCAAAGUCGGUUUUUUAUAAAGUUUUCUUAUAUAAAAAGUUUAUUAAGCAUUGAAAACAUCCAAAUCUAACAGUAAAAUUAAUAAACUUUUGAUGAUAAUCUUUUUUUCAUUUUGUGAUGCUUUUAUCGUCAGUAGUGAUAAGAUGAAGAAAAGCUAUUGAUUUUUCUCUCUGCAAUGGUUACUUUUAUCGUACACAAAUGUUGGGUGCUUUUAUUUACAAAAAGGAUCACUGCCUAACAAUAUUCAUUUCACAGCUGUUGUCAACCAAACCUUCCCGAUCUAUAUAAAGGUUGGCUUGGCCUCACACAUAUUAGCCAAGCAAGUAAACCAGCUCGACCUAUAUACAGCUACUUGUCUUGUGUAUUGACUGACAAAUUGUAGUUAACAUGGCACGUCAGGCAGACCGUCUUGCUAAGAUUGGGCUAGAGGGCUUUGCAGCCAUAGAUGAGCACUUCGGCCGGGCCAAGAGGCGGCCACCAGUGCUGAAGGUUCCCUAUGCUCAUCCGACAUAUUACUAUGCAAACCAAAUUCCUGCAACAGAAGUUAUCGACAACAACGAGGCAGCUCAACGCUACAAGGGGAGGGUUUAUCUCAAUUAUCCUAAGGGGAAACCAGUUCCGUUUUAAAGACCUAGUGAUUAAUCACUUAGCUUUCUUGUAUGCAUAACCUCCUCUAGUUGUGUUACCUUUAGUCCUGUACGAUAUUCUCCCUCUGCUAAACGUAGACGAGGAGAGGUUGCUAGAACUCGAGUCCGGAGCUUCUUCUUGCUUCAUCAAAUAAAAUUUCUGUGAUUUAUAUAUUAUAAUUUUCUAUUUGGCUGGUCAAGUAUGCAUUGUCAUAAAUAUCACUCUGCUUCCCUGAUUAUUACCUUAUUCACCUAUUACUUAG
rnacentral:lncRNA from 1 species